rnacentral:rRNA from 1 species
UACGGGGGGUGCGAGCGUUGUCCGGAAUCACUGGGCGUAAAGGGCGCGUAGGUGGUUUGAUAAGGGUGUGGUGAAAGUCCGGAGCUCAACUCCGGAUCUGCCGUGCCGACUGUCAAACUCGAGGGCUGUAGAGGCAGACGGAAUUCCGGGUGUAGCGGUGGAAUGCGUAGAGAUCCGGAGGAAGACCGGUGGCGAAGGCGGUCUGCUGGGCAGUAGCUGACACUGAGGCGCGACAGCGUGGGGAGCAAACAGG